rnacentral:SRP_RNA from 1 species
GCCAGGCAUGGUGGCGCAUGCCUAUAAUCCCAGCUACCCGGGAGGCUGAGGCAGGAGAAUUGCUUGAACCCAGGAGGCAGAGGUUGCAGUGAGCCGAGAUGGCGCCACUGCACUCCAGCCUGGGCGACAGAGCAAGACCCUGUCUCAA